GGCACAAACGUGAAGUAGAAUAGUUGGGUAUGGUUAGCUGAUCCUACCAAUCUACUCUACUUCAAGUUUGUGCUC
rfam:Haemonchus contortus, ISE/inbred ISE, WGS project CAVP01000000 data, contig: Hcontortus_34269